GGUCACGAAGGCGGAGUGGCACCAGACUGUAAAUCUGGCACAUAAGAAACGCAGGGGGUUCGAAUCCCUCCUUGCCCA
rnacentral:tRNA from 1 species